rnacentral:misc_RNA from 1 species
AACCAUUCUCACCUGCGGCUAGACCUGCGGAGGGAUCAUUACACAAUACAAUAUGAAGGCUGUCCGCAGCUGGAGUAUUUUAUUACCCUUGUCUUUUGCGCACUUGUUGUUUCCUGAGCGGGUUCGCUCGCCACCAGGACCACCAAAUAAACCUUUUUUAUGCAGUUGCAAUCAGCGUCAGUACAAACAAUGUAAAUCAUUUACAACUUUCAACAACGGAUCUCAGAUCGGAAGAGCACA